rnacentral:rRNA from 1 species
AGAACGAACGCUGGCGGCAGGCCUAACACAUGCAAGUCGAACGCCGUAGCAAUACGGAGUGGCAGACGGGUGAGUAACGCGUGGGAACAUACCCCUCGGUUCGGAAUAACUCAGGGAAACUUGAGCUAAUACCGGAUACGUCCGAGGUCUUGAUCGACCUUGGAGAAAGAUUUAUCGCCGGAGGAUUGGCCCGCGUCUGAUUAGCUUGUUGGUGAGGUAAUGGCUCACCAAGGCUACGAUCAGUAGCUGGUCUGAGAGGAUGAUCAGCCACAUUGGGACUGAGACACGGCCCAAACUCCUACGGGAGGCAGCAGUGGGGAAUAUUGGACAAUGGGCGAAAGCCUGAUCCAGCCAUGCCGCGUGAGUGAUGAAGGCCUUAGGGUUGUAAAGCUCGUUUACCCGGAAGAUAAUGACGGUACCGGGAGAAGUAGCCCCGGCUAACUUCGUGCCAGCAGCCGC